rnacentral:rRNA from 1 species
UGAGCAACCUGCCCUUGGCUUCGGGAUAACUCCGGGAAACCGGGGCUAAUACCGGAUGUGACGUGCUCCUGCAUGGGGGUGUGUGGAAAGAUUCAUCGGCCAGGGAUGGAAUCGCGGCCUAUCAGCUAGUUGGUGAGGUAAUGGCUCACCAAGGCAACGAUGCGUAGCCGACCUGAGAGGGUGAUCGGCCACAUUGGAACUGAGACACGGUCCAGACUCCUAGGGAGG